GAUGAACGCUAGCGGGAGGCUUAACACAUGCAAGUCGUGGGGCAGCACGGGGUAGCAAUAUCCUGGUGGCGACCGGCGCACGGGUGAGUAACGCGUAUGCAACCUACCCAGUACAGGGGGAUAGCCCGGAGAAAUUCGGAUUAAUACCCCAUAAUGAUAUUAAUAGGCAUCUUUUAAUAUUUAAAGCUACGGCGGUACUGGAUGGGCAUGCGUAAGAUUAGCUAGUUGGUAGGGUAACGGCCUACCAAGGCUCCGAUCUUUAGGGGUCCUGAGAGGGUGAUCCCCCACACUGGUACUGAGACACGGACCAGACUCCUACGGGAGGCAGCAGUGAGGAAUAUUGGUCAAUGGGCGCAAGCCUGAACCAGCCAUCCCGCGUGAAGGAAGAAGGCGCUAUGCGUUGUAAACUUCUCUUCCGGAGGAAUAAAAUUUUGUACGAGUACAGGACUGAAGGUACUCCGGGAAUAAGCAUCGGCUAACUCCGUGCCAGCAGCCGCCGCCGUAA
rnacentral:rRNA from 1 species